CAUGCCGUUAAACCCCCAACUUCUGAAUGUUGACCUCGGAUCAGGUAGGAAUACCCGCUGAACUUAAGCAUAUC
rnacentral:rRNA from 1 species